GGCAGCGUGGGGACUGUGCAGAAGCCCCUGGGUUUGCCCUGGUAUAUGAAGUUGUGACUGCAAUUGGCUUGUAUUUAUGAUUUAAUCUGCAGUACUCGUGGGGGAAAUAGAUAACCUGGAAAAUGGAACUCAGCAAUAAUUCUCCUGUGAGGUUUUUGGGUGGAGGUGGGGCGGCUGCCUCGAAACUUUAAUGGAUAAACUUGGCAACUACUAACUUCCAAGUUCCCGAGCCGCGCCUCUCCGGGGUUUCGGAAUUCCCAGCCUGAGAAAGAGCCGCAAACUGGAGGAAUGAAGGCUGUGAUUCUCAACCUGAAAGAAAAUACAUUUCCUAGAUGCCCCCAGUAGACUUCUUACAUGGUGUUGGUCAAAAUGGACUCGUCUAUGCACCCGUAGG
rnacentral:lncRNA from 1 species